rnacentral:misc_RNA from 1 species
UUCAGUUGUUAGUCGAGCUCCGAACAUGGCCAGGACAACGGGGGAUCCCGUCAAGCGUCAGAAAUGCAUUGCUCGCAUUAAGUUCUGGCGAAGAUCGCGAGUGGGCAGCGAGUAUGUGCAUGCACUUGAGAAAUACUACCCAAUACCCAAUACUAAUCUGUCACUAUAUUUGAAUAGUAUUACUCUAGGAAUCCUCAAGUAUAAAGUGGUCUCCAACCAAGCGCAACGCUUUCAGUUUUCCAAGAUAAACGCUUUCCUGCGUCGGGCCGUAAGGGAUGAUUACAGAUACAGCGGCUCCUUCCAAGAGGCCAUCAAACCAGUACUCAUUAUUGCCCAGAUCUUUGCGCUGAUGCCUGUGCGUGGCAUAGGUUCAAAGUUGGCCGAAGACCUAACCUUCGCCUGGUCCAGUGCUCGCACAUAUUAUGCUUUGGCAAUGAUGAUAUCUUUUGGGGUUACCUCUGGAUAUAUCGUUGCCUUCAUGACGAAUAUUUCCUUCGACUUUGAUUCGGUGGAGACCAUGGUGUUCUAUGGAUCCAUAUUCCUCAUCUCGAUGUCUUUUCUGCAGCUCGCAACGAGAUGGCCAGCCAUUGCCCAGGAGUGGCAGGCAGUGGAGACCAAGCUGCCGCCGCUGCGGCUGGGAAAGGAACGCCGAUCGCUGGCCCAUCACAUCAAGAUGAUUACGCUGGUGGCCACCACAUGCUCUCUGGUGGAGCACCUGCUGAGCAUGACAUCCACGAUGACCUAUUCAGUGGCUUGUCCGCGCUGGCCCGGUCAUCCCGUUGACAACUUUCUGUACUUCAACUUCGCGACCGUGUUCCAUUUCGUAGACUACUCCACUUUCCUGGGUCUGUUAGGCAAGGUGAUAAAUGUGCUGAGCACUUUUGCCUGGAAUUUUAACGACAUCUUUGUAAUGGCCGUCAGUGUGGCACUGGCAUCACGUUUCCGGCAUCUCAACGAUUACAUGCAGCGCGAAGCAAGAUCGGCCACCACAGUGGGACUACUGGAUGCAGUGCAGAGUCAAUUUCCGGAACCUUUGCAAACUCUGCCAAGUCGUAGAUGAUGGCAUCUCCACCAUAACUCUCCUCUGCUUCAGCAACAAUUUGUAUUUCAUUUGUGGAAAGAUACUGAAGAGCAUGCACUCAAACGCUUUUCCGAGGAGGUGCAUAUGGACACGGUGGCAUUGACGGGCAUGAAGUUCUUUCGUCUGACGCGUGGCGUUGUCAUUUCGGU